ACACUUGGAGACUGAAAGUUGGACUCGUAGGUACUGAGCGUCUUGUUGUGGAGACCAGAUGCAAUGCCUGGGCCUCCUGCUCCAGCUCCCAUCCAGCCCUGGGUCAAAGCCUGCAGGCGAAGGACAGGACAGCAGAGUGAGCUCCAGGAUGUGGAGGAAGGAAGAUGAGGUGUGGUGGGGAAAGGAAAUAAUUCCCUGACUGGUGUCCCUUCCGUUUCGGGAUGAAUUGUCCUCCAGCUGCUCCUGAUUCCUGCGUUAAAGUCCUGGUGUGAUGGCUCACAUCUGUCAUCCCUGCACUUUGAGAGGUGAGAGGAUUGCUUGAGGCCAGGGGUUCAAGACCAGCCUGGGCAACACAGUGAGACCCCAUGUCCACAAUAAAAGAAAUUAGCCAGGCAUGGUGGUGGAUGCCUGUAGUCCCAGCUACUCAGGAGGCUGAGGCAGGAGGAUUGCUCGAGCCCAGGAGUUGGAGGCUACAAUGAGCUGUGAUUGUGCCACCGCAUUCCAGGCUGGGUGACAGAGUGAGACUCUGUCUCAAAACAAAAACAAAAACAAAGACAAAAACAAAUCCUAACCCUUUAGUACUUCAGAAUAAGACUGUAUUUGGAGAUAAGGCCUUUAAAGAGGCAAUUAUGUUAAUGAGGUCAUUAGGGUGGGUCCUGAUCCAAUAUGAUGGAUGUCCUUGUAAGAAAAGGGAACUAGGACGCAGACAUGUGCAGAGGAAAGACCAUGCAAAGACACAGGGAGAAGACGGCCCUCUGCCAGUCAAGGAGACAGGCAUCAGAAAAAAAUCAAUCCUGCCAACACCUUGAUCUCGGCAAAGCUCCAGGCAUGUGAGAAAAUAAGUUCUGCGGCAGCCACCCAGGCUGUGGUAGUUUGUUAUGGCAACCAUCACCCACUAAGACACCGUCUCCAAGACCCUCCUCUAUAGACAGACACCUGAUGCCCAGGCCACCCCUCAGAUGCCAGGGGAAGCUGGCUGGGAAGGGCAUGGGCUUUGGAGCCACCAGCUACACCCUGGAAUCUCUGUUCAUGGCCUUCUAACUGUGGGACCUUGAGCAAGUUACUCCAUCUCUUUAGUCUUGGAGAUCCAUAAAGCUGGAGGUAAUGAACUCUCCCCAGAGCUGUGCAAAUUAAAUGAACUAACAAGUAAAAAGAUAGAUUUAUUUAUUUAUUUUAGACAGGGCCUCCCUCUGUCACCCAGGCUGGAGUGAGUGCAGUGUGCGAUCACAGCUCACUGCAGCCUCGACUUCCCAGGCUCAACUGAUCUCAGCCUCUGAAGGAGCUGGGAUUACAGGUGUGUGCCACCAUGCCCAGCUAAUUUUUUCAUCUUUUGUAUGUUGCCCAGGCUGAUCUCAAACUUCUGGGCUUAAGAGAUCCUCCUGCCUUGGCCUCCUGAAGUGCUGGGAUUAUAAGCAUGAGUCACCUCGCCCAGCCAUGUAAAAAGAUUUAAUAUGCCUGAGGCCCAAGGACUCUAAUACGUUCUCCAAUUUUACCUACUCUAGGGGACAUUUGCUGUGUUUUGCAGCCACACUGGGCAGCCUGUCUCUUUGGAGGAAAUGCCAAGAUCUGCGGGGGUCUGGCCCUGUUUCCCACUGUGUGCAGAUGAAUCUUCUAACCACCUGUCUUCUGGAAGUGGGGACAGGAAGUGGAGCCAGUUCUGCCAGGUCCUCCCAUUCAGAUGGUGGGCUCCUGAAGAAGUGACAUAGAGAACUCAUGGAGGUGACAGUGGAGACAGGCUCCCAGCGGAGGGCAGCAAGGACCAAUGAUGGUGUGAGUGUCCACUGAGAGUGCCAUUGGUGGCGUCCCAGGCAGCAGGUUCUGUAGGAUGACCUCACUGUCAUCUAUGCUUGUUUCCCUGCUUGCAGUCAAUCUCCUUGUCCUCUGCCUUGUCCUCUUGGGGCCUGUUCUUGGCUGGCAAUCAUAUUGGAAAGUUAUCUAACAAAUUAUUUCACACUAAAGUGAGAAAGAUUUAGAUAAGUAGUCAUUUUCCUAAAGGCACUUGCAUUUUAAGAAGGGAAAGGAAACAGGUAAGGCUAAGCAUUUCAUUUAACUGGCAGUGGAAAACGUAAUCAUUUUUAAAAAUAAUUUAUAAUUUUAUAAUUUUUAAUUUUUUUUUUAUAGAGACAAGGUCUCUCUAUAUUGCCCAGGCUUGUCAACUCCUGGCCUCAAGUGAUCCUCCUGCUUUCGCAAAUCCCAAAGUGCUGGGAUUACAGGUGUGAGCCACCAUUGUCCGGCAGGGAAAGUUCAUUUUUAAGGCUGACUAUGUAUGUACCAAGGGCCUAUUAUUCCCCUGGGAUGCUGGUGUUCAAGGCAUUGUCUAGUCUGGCAUAGGUGAGGCACAUUCAUUUGAGUGGCCACCUCCCAUGUUGCCUACUCGGCUGGCACGGUGGAGAGCUUAGCUGUCUUUUGAGUCUGUGACUUGUUUAGACUUUACUGGUUUAAUCAGAAGGCUCUGAAUUUCAUACUUAAAUUCCCAUUCAGGUGUCUGGCUGACCAACAUUGGCAGGUAAAGGUAACAUUUUGGUCAGAUGAGGAAGGGGGUGCCGGGAGGCAACAAAGAGGUAUUUUCCCCAGUGUCUUACUCCUUUGUUCAGUUUUGAUGACAUGUAGCACGACUAAGAAAAGAACUUCUAGGCCAGUCCAGUGGUGCAGGGUGUGGGUAGGGUAGAGAACCGUACAAGAUGGAGAUCCCAAAGAGAGCCUGUGCCCAAAUGCAAAUUCCUGGUCAAUUAUUUCAGCCAGUUCACAGUGACUGCCUGCUUCUCCCUGCGUUAUUUUCACUGGGACCUGAAUCAACUCUUGAUUCUUGAAUCUAGAGAAGGGAAAGGAAUCCAGGACAGAAGGUGGGCAAAAAAGGCAGGAGCGCGAGGUGGCUGGGAAACGGGCGUUCUCCAUUCAUUUCUCACUUCCAAGUCUGACCUAAGCAGGUCUAGCAGGAAGGGCAGAUUAUCACGCGCAGCAAAGAGACAGGACUGAAGUUUGGCAAGUAGCACAAUCCCAUCCUCAGGCUCUUUAUUUAUGUCACUGCCAUGAAAUCCACUUUGUGAAACAGGGGGCCUUGUCUGUCUGCUCAAGACAUGUCUGGGAGAAGAGGUGGACACCUUCUCCACAUCGAGAAGUCAGGGUGCCCUGAGCUUCUGCUAUGGCGCUUACCCAGAACCUGGGGAGAGAGGCUGCUGCCAAAGAAACAAAUACGUGGGUGUCUUUCCUGGUUCCCAAAGGGCUGACCUUAGAGUCACCCGAUUGUGCUGCUUACAUCCCUCCAGGGCUUUGAAACACAUGCUUAGCUCUUGUGGCUAAGAAAUGGACACUGCUGAAACGGACACUAAGCUCUUGUGGGGAAGCUCUUGUGGUGCCUAACUGCAUCAGAAGGCGAUUCUGGCUUUGAGGCUGGGAAGCUUUCGGAGGUGCUUUUCAAAUGCAAGCUUAUGUCACCUUUAGGAACAUUUUUCAAUUCGCUUUCUGCUGGCCAGGCUCGCAGCUCCACGCUGUCGCCUGCUCCUGCCUCUCUGUGGCUCCCAAUGUCCAGCAGGCACAGACUUGACGGUUGUCUCUGUGCAGAAUUCCCCUCACUUUCUGCUUCCACAGGCUGACUUCGUUCGUGCUGUUCCUGCUCCCUGCUCCGGUUACAGCCACAGGCUCCUCCACAUUCUUCUGUCUGCCUCCAGUUUCUUCUUCUCACUUUAAUCAGUCUUGUCCACCAUUGCCAGAUAAUUAAAAAACAAAACAAAACAAAAACUAAGCUUCCAUAUUAUCUACAAAAUAGUCAAGGUCUUUCUUCCAUGUUAUCUACAAAAUAUUCCAGGUUGUUCUUAGCCUUUUAGGAAUCAGAGGAGAAUUUCAACCCAUUAUGGGUUUAGGCCUCCAAGACUCUAACAGAAGAGGGACACGGUGGAAGAAUAAUGGGAAGUGGAAAUCUUACCCCUGGCAGGGUGUCCCGGUUCUGGAUGCAUGCCCAAGGAAACACAAACGAUAAUUUUUACAAAUCAAAGCCAUGCAAGUCCCAUGGAGACAUAUUAGAACAUGUUUUCUUAGAUUUGUAAGUCAUAGGACCAAAAUUGGUGGCUGAAUGGCACUGAGGGAGAGUCUGAUAGGUUACUAACUAAGGGGUGCUCUAUGUUGCCACAGACUAGGUGGAAAAGGAAGGGGUAGGGAAAGCCAGGGUGGUGAUCCUGAGAAAGAAGUUGGAUGAGAAGACUCUGCGCCUUCUAGCCAUGCUCAAAUGCUAGUGAUAAACACACACAGACAACAUACAGUGAAGUACACACACACAGAGUCUCACACACCUUGCACGGUGUGUGAGCACCUUGCAUGCUCUUGGGCAUCUACAGCACUCAUUUCACUGUCAGGUUUUGCCUUUUCUUUGGACGUCGCUCUUGGGCGUCUAGAGCACUCAUUUCACUGUCAGGUUUUGCCUUUUCUUUGGAUGUCACUCUUGGGCAUCUAGAGCACUCAUUUUACUGUCAGGUUUUGCCUUUUCUUUGGACGUCAUUUUUCCUUGUGUGCAUGUUGCCCAUUCCCCUAAGAAGUACAGGAGAGGUGGGCACGGUUGCUCACACCUGUAAUCCCAGCACUUUGGGAAGCCGAGGCAGGAGGAUCACUUGAGGCCAGGAGUUGGAGAACAGGCUGGGCAACAUGACGAGACCCUGUCUCUGCAAAAAAAAUCUUUAAAAAAUUAUCCAGGUGUGGUGGCAUGUGCCUGUGGUCCCAGCUACUAAGGAGGCUGAGGCGGGAGGAUCACUUGAGCCUGGGAAGUUGAAGAUGCAGUCAGCUGUGAUUGCAUCACUGUACUCUUGCCUGGGCAAUGGAGUGAAGCCCUGUCUCCAAAAACAACAAACAAACAAAAAAACCAAAAAACAAAAUAACAAAAGAGAAGUACAGCAGAUAUGGAGCAGAAGUGCGAAUGGUCUUCUAAAUAGUCAAUCUUUGGGGGCAUCCUCCCCUCCCUUCUCCCCUCCCCCCCUUUUUUUCUUAUACUUCUUCUUGCAGUCCAACAUCCUUAGCAGUGCAAAAUGAGUCAGAGUUUCCUCAGACCUUUGAGUGCUCAGCAUUAUAUAAUCAUCACUUCCAAGUAGCAUUCGGAGAUGUCUUUAAGCUGCAGCAGCUAUUGUUAGUUGUUUAAGACACUCCAUCACUGCCUUUGAUCGGAAACUUUCUCAUCACCAUUAUGUGCAUCGGUGCAGGCACCUUAAAUUUCACUGGGUCUUGGGAUUAGUCAUAUUAUAGAGAGACACAGAGAUGUGAGAAAUAAAUUGAAAAAAGGUCUGUAGCAACAGAUUUUACACCAUAAAAGAGUAAAUUAUUAGGUGUUAGGAAAAAUAUAAAUGUUGCAAACGGUGUGUUUUAUAUACUGUUGCCAAGAAUAAAAAUAUGCCAAAUAUGGGGGAAAAAGGUGUUGGUUAAUCUGACUUCUGGCUGGCCCCCACCCUGCAGCUCUUAGCACUGCUGGGCUGUUUUAUAGGGCAGUAACCCAGUCACCAAAGCAAAGAGAAUUCGAAUAAGGGACUUGGAAGAUAUGCCAACUUGGGGACUAAUUAUUGCCUUGUUAAACAGUGAGAUGGGGUUAUUGUACAUUUUUGUGUAUGGUAGUUAAAAUGUAUUUUAAAAAAGAAGUUUUUAGAAACCAAGAAUUCCCCAAAUUCAAGAAGUAACUGAUAAAGUAGUUUAUGGAAAUGUAAUCUCCCCAUAGAACCAGAUUGUGCAACAAAAAAGGAGAAGGAACGAUGUUAAAUGGGAAACAGAAUGGGGGUGACCCUUCCAGAUGGCUUUCUGGAAACUCCUUUCAAGCCAGCCACCCACCAGACGAUGCUACCAAAUGGCCCCUGUAUUCGUUUUUUAGGGCUGCCAUAACAAAGUGUCACAAGCUGGGUGGCUUACAACAAUAAAAAUCUACCAUUUUACAGUUCUGGAGGCCACAAGUGUGAAAUCAAGAUGUCAGCAGUGCCAUACUCUCUCUGAAGUCUGUUGGAGAGAACUCUUCUUUGUCUCUCCCAGUUUCUGGUGGUUUCCAGCAAUCCGUGGCUUCCUUGGCUUGUCGUCGCAUCAUUCCAGUCUCAGUCAUCAUGCGGCCUCCUCACUAUGUGUCUGUCUGUGUUUACAUUUUCCUCUUCUCAUAAGGGCAGCAGUAAAUGGAUUAGGCAUGCUAGUAUAUCUUCUUCGCUUGAUGGCAUCUGCAGACUCUGUUUCCAAAUAAGGCCUUGUUCAUGGGUACUGGGGUUAGGACUUCAACACCUCAUUUCUAGUCUCCUAUAUCACCAUGAAGAAAGCUAUGCUAGAAAGCUAUGUCUUUGUUACUUAUACAAAGUGGUAUUGAUAAUAGCUACUUACUCAAAACUACUCAGAAUAAGAUCAGUUUCUAGCAUGACAGUAUGAGGAGCCGCCUGACCCACUCCUCCAGGUAAACUGGUAAAAACAGCCAUUUAAGGCUUCUGGAAAUAGUCCCAAGGAAAAACAGCAAAGGAAGGAACCUGUAUUCAAGAAAAUGUACUAAUUUGGUAGAAGAGGUGAAUCUGUGGGAUUUGAAACAAGACCACUUCUUUCCUCCCCACUCCCAGCUCAGCACGGUGGCAAUUUCCCUCCAGACAGCUACUGCUGAAACACAGGUCUCCUCUCCUCCCAGCACAGAGGGCCUCCUUCCAGGGAGGAGUAGGAUGGCAGUGUCCUUCAUCCUGCCCCCAGCUCCCUGUUGCUGAGGCUGUCUCAGAUGAAUGCAGUUGAGAGGUGGGGGCUGCCACCCCUACCUGCUACUCAUGGAAGGAGACUCUACCUUGGGUGUGACAUGCUGAGAAGACUGUGGCCCUGGUCACUUUUGCCCUGGCUCUUGAGGUGGUGUUUCCAUGCCAGAAGGCUCAAGUUAAGAAGACCACUGGCUAUCCCCAACUCCUCCACCAAGCACCCAGCCCCUAGGCAGGGGGUGUCACUCAGAGAAAAGCUUACCAUUGUUUCUACCCCCAGCUCCAGAGCUCUGGUUCAGAUAUUUUGUUGCAAGGUAGGGGAGAAGAAGCAGUUCAGAGAAAAAAAGGUAAUUCUUAAUCUCUUCCCAAGGGAACUGACUUCAUUUUCAACAGAGCUUGGAGAAAAUUAAGCCUAAGUAUGCUCUGAAAACACAGUGGAGGUUGUGGUGAAGGGCAAUUGGGAGAGGCUAGUUUGCAGGAGAGAACCCAGAAUAAACCACUGGGAAGGAACCCUUCUGGGGGUCAGAACAAAUAUCAAACACUGACCUCAGAAACUAUUCUUUCAAAGGAGCCACAGUUUAAUGGGGUUAGUUUGUGGAACACUUUAUGCCCCAGGAUAUUGUUGAAAACAAUAGGGCAAUUGGCCACCAAUUAAUGGAGCUUAACAGCUGGAUGUGGUUAGGGAAGUGCCAGAGAGCCCUAGCAAAACCACUGUCAUCCCAGCACGACUGUGGGCAUAUGCAAAGCUGAACCUCUUUAGGGAGCAAUAUGAGAGGCUUAACGCUUUGGGAGGGAAAAUAUACAGUUGACCUUUGGACAACACAGGUUUGAACUGCGUGAAUCCACCUAUACAUGAAUUUUUUUCCACCACUGCCAACCUUGAGACAAGACUGACCCCUAUUCUUCUCCCUCCUCUGCAGCAUACUCUACAUGCAGAUGUUGUGGAUAAAGAUCUUUAUGAUGAUCUACUUCCACCUAAUGAAUAGUAAAUGUAUUUUCUCUUCCUUAGGAUUUUCUUAAUAAUAUGCUCUUUUCUGUAACUUAUUUUACUGAAAGAGUACAGUAUAUAAUACAUAUAACACACAAAAUAUAUGUUAAUUGACUAGCUGUGUUAUCAGUGAGGCUCCUUCUGGUCAACAGUAGGCUAUUAGUAAAGUUCUGGGGCAUCAAAAGUUAUACACAAUUAUUUUACUGCAUAGGCAGUCAAUGCCCAUAACCCCUACUUUGUUCAAGUGUCAACUUUACUUCAUGAAAAUAAACCAGGCAGUCACUAAAAACAAUCAAUAAGCAAAUAACAAUAACAAGUCCUGAAGGAGGGAAAGACCAAUAUCCAGAGUCAGUAGAAUAUAUUAUCUAAAAUGUCCAGUUUCUCACAAAAAAUUACAAGGCAUGCAAACAAACAAGAAAGUAUAAUAUGAUCCAUACACCUGAAAAAAAGCAGAGAAAGAAACUAACUUUAAGAAUGAUAAGACAUAGGCUGAGUGUGCCUGUAAUCUCAGCACUUUGAGGGGUUGAGGUGGGAGGAUUGCUUGAGCCCAGGAGAGUGAGGCUAGGCAUCUAUCACACCACUGUGCUCUAGCCUGGGUGACAAAGUGAGACCCUGUCAAAAAAAAGAAAAAAAAAAAACCCUCAAAAAACCUGUUAUAAGCAUGUUCACAGAGCUAAAAGAAGGGAUGAUGACCAUGUUCCAUCAAAUAGAGAAUGCCAACAGAGAGACAGAAUAAUCAAAUGGAAAUUCUGGAUUUGAAAAGUACAAUAAUUGAAAUGAAAUAUUCACUAAAGGGGCUCAAAAGUAGAUUUGAACUGGCAGAAGAAAGAAUAUGUGAAAUUGAAGAUAGAUCAAUAGAGACUAUGCAAGCUGAAGAACAGAAGAAGGAAUAAUGAAAAGUGAAGAGCACUUCAGAAAAUGUGAGACACCAUUAAGUGCACCAACAUACAUGUAAUGGAAGUAUCAGAAGGAAAGGAGAGAAAGGAGCAGAAAAAUCUUGAAGAUUAAGUGGGAAGAUCACUUGAGCUCAGGAGUUUGAGACCAGCCUGGGCAACCUAGUGAGACUUCACCUCUGUUAAAAAAAAUAGCUGGGUGUGGUGAUGUGCACCUGUAGUCCCAGCUAUUCAGAAGGCUGAGGUGGAAGAUUUUUUUAAGCUCGGGAUUUCUGCACUACAGUAAGCUAUGAUCGUGCCACUGCACUCCAGCCUGGGUGAAAGAGCGAGACCCUGUCUCAAUUUUUUUUUUUUCUGAAGAACUAGUGUCUGGAAGCUCCCCAAAUUUACUGAUAGAUAUUUGUCUGUAGUUUUCUUUUCUUGUAAUGUCUUUUUCUGCUUUUGGUACUAGGAUAAUGCUAGCGUCAUCGAAUGAGUUAGAAAGUAUUCCCUUUUCAUCUAUCUUCUGAAAGAGCUUAUAAGGGAAUUGGUAUAGUUUCUUCCUGAAGUGUUGGUGGAAUUCACCAAUGAACUCAUCUGGGCCUGGUACUUUCUGUUUUAGAAGGUUAUUAAUUAUUGAUUCAAUUUCUUUAAUAAAUAUAAGCCUAUUCAGAUUGUCUAUUUCUUCUUGUGUGAGUUUUUCUAGAUUGCAUCCUUCAAAAUAUUGGUCUAUUUCAUCUAAGUUAUCAGAUUUUUGGGCAUAGAACUGUUCAUAGUAUUCCCAAGUUUAUUGAAAAGCAAUAACCUACACAUCCAGAAAGCUCAACAAACUUCAAGUAAGAUAAAUAAAAGCAAAGAGAUACUAAACAGCCACAUCAUAGUACAAAUGCUGAAUUAAAGAUACAGAGAAAAUCUUGAAAGGAG
rnacentral:lncRNA from 1 species